AGCUUAUUGAAUUCUCUAUAAUAAGUUAUUUCUGCCCAGUGGUUCCACUAAACGGCCGCGGUACCCUAACCGUGCAAAGGUAGCAUAAUCACUUGCCUUUUAAUUGAAGGCUAGAAUGAAUGAAUAAACGUUAAUCUCCCUUUUCCGCAUAUUAAUUUAAAAAUUAUUCUCCAGGUGAAGAAACCUGGAUUUUAUAAAAAGACAAGAAGACCCUAUCAAGCUUCAUACUUAAAAAACCUUUUUAUAGUGUAUUUGGUUGGGGCGACUAAUGGAGAUUUCUAUUCCUCCAUAGAUACUAUGAUAAAUGCAUCUCAACGCUUAAUAAUUUAAAAUAUAAAAGCUACUGUAGGGAUAACAGGCUAAUAUUCUCUAAGAGUUCAAAUUAAAGAGAAUGAUUGGCACCUCGAUGUUGGCUUAGGGCCCCUACACCCCGCAGAAGGGGUGUCAGGUAGUUUGUUCAACUAUUAAACCCCU
rnacentral:rRNA from 1 species